GACGAGGGCGCGAGCGUUGUCCGGAUUUAUUGGGCGUAAAGAGCUCGUAGGCGGCUUGUCGCGUCGUUCGUGAAAACCUGCAGCUCAACUGCAGGCUUGCGGUCGAUACGGGCAGGCUAGAGUUCGGUAGGGGAGACUGGAAUUCCUGGUGUAGCGGUGGAAAUGCGCAGAGUAUCAGGAGGAACACCGGUGGCGAAGGCGGGUCUCUGGGCCGAUACUGACGUGAGGAGCGAAAGCGUGGGGAGCGAACAGG
rnacentral:rRNA from 1 species